rnacentral:rRNA from 1 species
GAACGCUGGCGGCAUGCCUUACACAUGCAAGUCGAACGGUAACAGGUUAAGCUGACGAGUGGCGAACGGGUGAGUUAUAUAUCGGAACGUGCCCAGUCGUGGGGGAUAACUGCUCGAAAGAGCAGCUAAUACCGCAUACGACCCGAGGGUGAAAGCGGGGGAUCGCAAGACCUCGCGCGAUUGGAGCGGCCGAUAUCAGAUUAGGUAGUUGGUGGGGUAAAAGCCCACCAAGCCAACGAUCUGUAGCUGGUCUGAGAGGACGACCAGCCACACUGGGACUGAGACACGGCCCAGACUCCUACGGGAGGCAGCAGUGGGGAAUUUUGGACAAUGGGCGCAAGCUUAAUCCAGCCAUGCCGCGUGCGGGAAGAAGGCCUUCGGGUUGUAAACCGCUUUUUGUCAGGGAAGAAAAGGUUCUGGUUAAUACCUGGGACUCAUGACGGUACCUGAAGAAUAAGCACCGGCUAACUACGUGCCAGCAGCCGCGGUAAUACGUAGGGUGCAAGCGUUAAUCGGAAUUACUGGGCGUAAAGCGUGCGCAGGCGGUUAUGCAAGACAGAGGUGAAAUCCCCGGGCUCAACCUGGGAACUGCCUUUGUGACUGCAUAGCUAGAGUACGGUAGAGGGGGAUGGARAUCCGCGUGUAGCAGUGAAAUGCGUAGAUAUGCGGAGGAACACCGAUGGCGAAGGCAAUCCCCUGGACCUGUACU